rfam:Limnochorda pilosa DNA, complete genome, strain: HC45.
GGCGGCGUGGCCAAGCGGCUAAGGCAACGGCCCUGCAAGGCCGUGAUCCCGCGGUUCGACUCCCGGCGCCGCCU